CGUGUAGGCGGUGGCACAAGUCGGGUGUGAAAGCCUCUGGCUUAACCAGAGAGGGUCAUCCGAAACUGUGUGACUAGAGGGCGAGAGAGGAAAGUGGAAUUCCCGGUGUAGUGGUGAAAUGCGUAGAUAUCGGGAGGAACAUCGGUGGCGAAGGCGGCUUUCUGGCUCGUACCUGACGCUGAGGCGCGAAAGCGUGGGUAGCGAACUGAAUUAGAUACUCAGGUAGUCCACGCCCUAAACGAUGGAUACUAGGUGUGGGGGGUAUCGACCCCCUCUGUGCCGAAGCUAACGCAUUAAGUAUCCCGCCUGGGGAGUACGGCCGCAAGGCUAAA
rnacentral:rRNA from 1 species